GGAGGUAUAACUCAGCGGCAGAGUGCAUGCCUAGCAUGCAUAAGGUCCUGGGUUCAGUCCCAGUACCUCCA
rnacentral:tRNA from 1 species